rnacentral:misc_RNA from 1 species
AAAAAUAGUCACAGAAAAACUCUUCUUUAAUCAAAAGAUUCUCUUUUACAUGUUUGCUUUAAAAUGGCUUCCGAAACUCCUAGUUUGUGAUGAAAAUACAAGACACAUGACCAGAAAAUCUACAAGAAAGUAAAAGAGAAGAAAACUAAUCGCCUCACAGUACAUCAAGUAUGGACUACAUUAUACAAAAAUAGCUCAACCCCAAGAUUUAUAACUUGUUUCAUCCCACAAGUAGAGUGUCCUCCUAUGCUUUGCUCAUCUCAAGUUAGAGUUAGCUUCAUACAGCAGCUGGCUCUUCAAUUAUUCCUUCUUUUUUGGCUUCCUCGCCUAGAGUAAAUCGAACGAACCUCCUAACUUUUAUGUUCUCCCCAAGAGCA